rnacentral:rRNA from 1 species
UCCAAGCGUUAUCCGGAUUUAUUGGGUUUAAAGGGUGCAUAGGCGGGACAGUAAGUCAGUGGUGAAAUCCUAUCGCUUAACGAUAGAAUUGCCAUUGAUACUGCUGACCUUGAGUACAAAUGAUGUGGGCGGAAUGUGCAGUGUAGCGGUGAAAUGCUUAGAUAUUGCACAGAACACCGAUAGCGAAGGCAGCUCACAAAACUGUAACUGACGCUGAGGCACGAAAGUAUGGGGAUCAAACAGG